UACGGAGGGUGCGAGCGUUGUCCGGAAUCAUUGGGCGUAAAGGGCGCGUAGGUGGCCCGGUCAGUCAGUGGUGAAAGCGCGGGGCUCAACUCCGCGUCGGCCAUUGAUACUGCUGGGCUUGAGCACUGUAGAGGCAGGCGGAAUUCCGGGUGUAGCGGUGGAAUGCGUAGAGAUCCGGAGGAACACCGAAGGCGAAGGCAGUGUCCUGGCGAGUGACUGACGCUGAGGUGCGAAAGCCAGGGGAGCGAACGGG
rnacentral:rRNA from 1 species